AUUGAACGCUGGCGGCAGGCCUAACACAUGCAAGUCGAGCGGAUGAAGGGAGCUUGCUCCCGGAUUCAGCGGCGGACGGGUGAGUAAUGCCUAGGAAUCUGCCUGGUAGUGGGGGACAACGUCUCGAAAGGAACGCUAAUACCGCAUACGUCCUACGGGAGAAAGCAGGGGACCUUCGGGCCUUGCGCUAUCAGAUGAGCCUAGGUCGGAUUAGCUAGUUGGUGAGGUAAAGGCUCACCAAGGCGACGAUCCGUAACUGGUCUGAGAGGAUGAUCAGUCACACUGGAACUGAGACACGGUCCAGACUCCUACGGGAGGCAGAAGUGGGGAAUAUUGGACAAUGGGCGAAAGCCUGAUCCAGCCAUGCCGCGUGUGUGAAGAAGGUCUUCGGAUUGUAAAGCACUUUAAGUUGGGAGGAAGGGUUGUAGAUUAAUACUCUGCAAUUUUGACGUUACCGACAGAAUAAGCACCGGCUAACUCUGUGCCAGCCGCCGCCGUAA
rnacentral:rRNA from 1 species